rnacentral:rRNA from 1 species
ACAGGGUGACAGGUGGUGCAUGGUUGUCGUCAGCUCGUGUCGUGAGAUGUUGGGUUAAGUCCCGCAACGAGCGCAACCCUCGCCUCUAGUUGCCAGCAUUCGGUUGGGCACUCUAGAGGGACUGCCGGCGACAAGUCGGAGGAAGUGGGGAUGACGUCAAAUCAUCAUGCCCCUUAUGACCUGGGCUACACACGUGCUACAAUGGGCGGUACAAAGGGCUGCGAACCCGCGAGGGGGAGCGAAUCCCUUAAAGCCGAUCGUAGUCCGGAUCGUAGUCUGCAGCUCGACUACGUGAAGUCGGAAUCGCUAGUAAUCGCAGAUCAGCAUGCUGCGGUGAAUACGUUCCCGGGUCUU